rnacentral:rRNA from 1 species
CCUACGGGGGGCAGCAGUGGGGAAUAUUGGACAAUGGGCGAAAGCCUGAUCCAGCCAUGCCGCGUGAGUGAAGAAGGCCUUAGGGUUGUAAAGCUCUUUCAGCGGGGAAGCGGUACCCGCAGAAGAAGCCCCGGCUAACUUCGUGCCAGCAGCCGCGGUAAUACGAAGGGGGCUAGCGUUGUUAGGAAUUACUGGGCGUAAAGCGCGCGUAGGCGGGUCGUUAAGUCAGGGGUGAAAUGCCGAGGCUCAACCUCGGAAUUGCCUUUGAUACUGGCAACCUGGAGUUCGGGAGAGGUGAGUGGAAUUCCGAGUGUAGAGGUGAAAUUCGUAGAUAUUCGGAGGAACACCAGAAGCGAAGGCGGCUCACUGGCCCGAACUGACGCUGAGGCGCGAAAGCGUGGGGAGCAAACAGGAUUAGAUACCCUUGUAGUC